AUGCACGCUGGCGGCGUGCCUCAUACCUGCAAGUCGCGCGAACAGACGAGGAGCUUGCUCCUCUGACGUUAGCGGCGGCCGGGUGAGUAACACGUGGAUAACCUACCUAUAAGCCUGGGAUAACUUCGGGAAACCGGAGCUAAUACCGGAUAAUAUAUUGAACCGCAUGGUUCAAUAGUGAAAGACGGUUUUGCUGUCACUUAUAGAUGGAUCCGCGCCGCAUUAGCUAGUUGGUAAGGUAACGGCUUACCAAGGCGACGAUGCGUAGCCGACCUGAGAGGGUGAUCGGCCACACUGGAACUGAGACACGGUCCAGACUCCUACGGGAGGCAGCAGUAGGAAAUCUUCCGCAAUGGGCGAAAGCCUGACGGAGCAACGCCGCGUGAGUGAUGAAGGUCUUCGGAUCGUAAAACUCUGUUAUUAGGGAAGAACAAAUGUGUAAGUAACUAUGCACGUCUUGACGGUACCUAAUCAGAAAGCCACGGCUAACUACGUG
rnacentral:rRNA from 1 species